UUGGAGGGCAAGUCUGGUGCCAGCAGCCGCGGUAAUUCCAGCUCCAAUAGCGUAUAUUAAAGUUGUUGCAGUUAAAAAGCUCGUAGUUGAAUUUUGGAUUCUGCCAGUUGGUCCAUCUUUUGAUGAGUACUGAUUGUGUGGGGUCUAUCCGCCUGGUGAUACGUAAUGUACUUUAUUGUAUGUUGCGGGUAGUCAGGACCUUUACCUUGAAAAAAUUAGAGUGUUUAAAGCAGGCUUAUGCCGGAAUACAUUAGCAUGGAAUAAUAGAAUAGGACGAUGUUGUUUUAUUUUGUUGGUUUCUAGGACAACCGUAAUGAUUAAUAGGGAUAGUUGGGGGCAUUAGUAUUCAAUUGUCAGAGGUGAAAUUCUUGGAUUUAUUGAAGACUAACUACUGCGAAAGCAUUUGCCAAGGAUGUUUUCAUCAAUCAAGAACGAAAGUUAGGGGAUCGAAGACGAUCAGAUACCGUCGUAGUCUUAACCAUAAACUAUGCCGACUAGGGAUCGGGCGAUGUUGUUUCAAUGACUCGCUCGGCACCCUAUGGGAAACCAAAG
rnacentral:rRNA from 1 species